rnacentral:lncRNA from 1 species
AAAAACUAAUUUUGAGUACAAGGAUGAAAGAAGUAUCCUUGUUGAGAACCCCUUAAUUGAUGAUUAGAUGAAGAAACUUGAACUUAGAAUUCCUAUUUGUGCUCUUGAAGAUUGAAUCUUGAAGUUCUUGAAUUGGGAAUCUUUAAUUUUUAGUUAUAUUGAAAAAAGAAUGGUGGAAUUUAAAUUUCUUGAGGAGGAAGAUUUGAUGUUCUAGGAUUUCGUUGAGAGAAUGUUGAUAAAAAAUGAGAAAAAUAGUCUUAGAAUAGGUUUAAUACACUGUUAUUCAUGAUUUGGGGCUUGGAAAAUGACUAGAUCACCCUUUUAAAAUUUAAAUCAAAACUGGAAAAAUCUUGAUUCUGCCUCCCACCACGAUGCGCCGCUAUUACAGUAGCAUACUAGAAAAAGGAUGAUCGCCAUUAUGGACUCUGGUGCGAUGUGGUGAAAUUGCAUUCUGUCACUAUAAAAGGACGAGUGCCAUUUUGCACUCCACCGUGAUGCGGUGACUGUACCAUUAAGAAUUUUAACGCGACACAAGCUAAUCGCGAUGAGCUACUGUAAUAAGAAGAACGGGACUUGAAGCUUCAUCGUGACAUGGUCCCAUCGUGGUGAUUCACUAAAAUUGGACAAUUGCAGAUUUUUCCUUCACCUCAACGUGGUGCUUAUCACGAUCAUCUACUGCUUUCACUAAAAUUGCCAUAACUUCUCCACCAAGUAUUGAAUUAAGGAGAAAUUAGUAUCAUUAAAAAGCUAAUUCAAUUAUAUACAUAUUGGUGGGUCUAUAAAUAGAAAAUUCUACUUGAAUCGAGAGUUAUUUAUCUUUAAGGUUGAACCUUUACAUUCUAGGAGCUAAACUGAGCUAGAAAAAAUGUACGGGUAUUACAGUCUAGUCCCCAUCAGAAAAAAGAUAGGCUAAUUGGUUUGAAAGACAAAUCUCUUAAAAAACAUAAGCGGAAAAAAUGAUAUUGAUGAUAAUAAUAUGGAGGAUUUUCAAGAAGAUCUUCAUGACAUAGCCUAUGAAG